rnacentral:lncRNA from 1 species
AGAAGGUGCUUAUGCACUAAGACGUGUGUUCGAUGAGAAAAUGCUCAAAGCUGGAGCUGAAAGUUUGGCUGAGGAAGCAAAAAUUUUGGCUGUAGCUUUUCUUGAAGAAGAGAUAAUGGAUAACUAAAUUUGCAUCCUUAGUCCAUUAGCAUCCUUUCUGAAUGCAGAAAUGUUGCAGUUUUAAAGGAAAAGUAACGUAAGACACCGACUAGUAAACUACGAUAUAAAAUUGCAACAUUUUUGUUUCAAGAAAUCCAUAGACAAUAUAAAAUACAGUAAAGCUUAAGCUACGUGAUUUAUUCCAAAAUGGCUAAGCUUAUAAAUUAUAUAAUGUUCGUAUGAUAAAUGUUUAUAAUGUUAAGAUUAAGUGAUACAAACCUCACGCAGUAACGGAUUUAUGUACGGUCGCUUGCUUUUCAAAGGCGUCUGCCAAUCAAGCUAGUUGUGGAUGAGAAGCAAGAGUUCCUGGGAAGUCUUUUAGGUCAUACAAAGCUCAUAGGUACUUGUACGAUUUGGAAUAUAAUCCAGUUGCAAAUAUACAAAGGACCAACCUUACUUACUACACAAGGAUUUAAACAUUUGAUGAAGUUUGAGUUGAUGGAUAGUGCAUCAACUGAAGGUGUACUUAAAGCGAUUGAGCUGUUGCCUAUGACAACUACAAUAUCUCUCCGGAGAUAAGAUUAAUGGCCGGAAUGAUUUGUGUAGGCAAUUCAGUUUACUAUUGUGACGAUCCGACCCGUUGUCUUUUGUAUUUCAGCCCCGUUAUCCCCGUAAUAUGCUUCCUCGUAUGUUGAUAUAUGUGUUUGGUGUGUUUGAGACGUGUUGGAUUGAAUUUGGUUAGAAAUGAGACCAAUAGCCCCUUUAAGGAAAGCAUAAGUUGGAAAAGUCAACCAGACGUUGACUUGUGAGUUGGAGGGCUCGGAAUGGAUUUCCGAUGAUUCGACUAGUUUUGAAUGGUGAUUUAUGACUUGGGAGCAAAAUCGGAAUUUAAUUUGGACGUCUAGUGUAGAAUUAGGCUUGAAUUGGCUAAGUUUGAAUUUUAGCAAAUUCCGGUUAAUAGGUGGGAUUUUGAUUCGGGGGCCGGAAUGGAAUUCCGGGAGUUGCAAUAGCUUCGUUAGGUGAUUUUGGAUAUGUCUGCAAAUUUUCAGGUCAUUCGGACAUCCCUUGGUUGGGUUUUGGGUCAAAUGCGAAUUUGAAAAAGUUCUAGUUUGACUUGGGCUUUAAUUUGAGGAAUUUGAUGAUUUUUGACGUUAAUGUUGGUGUUUUUAUGGCCCGAGCAAGUUUGCAUGAAGUAUUAAGUCGUGUUGGUGCUUUUGGUUGAGGUCCCGGGGGCCUCGGGGCCCCCAGGGUGAUUUCGGAUGGAUAACGGAAGGAUUUUUUGUUUUGAAAGAUGGCAGAUUUUCAGCUGUUGGUGUUGCAGACCACAAAGCAUCGCGUUCGCAUGGGUGUGGACGCGAACGCGUAGAAGGAAUCUGGGAGCCUGGGAUUCUUGCCUUCGCGUUCGCAAAGGGGAGACCACAAUCGCGUAGUAGAGAAGUUGUUCUUGAUCGCGUUCGCGUAAGCCAGGGGGUGUGGGCCAUCGUGUUCGCGUUGAGAGGGUCGCAUUCGUGUUAGAGGGCCUGUGAUCGUGGUCAGGUAAAGCAUCGCGUUCGCAUGGCCAGGGUCCCGAACGCGAUGAAGGAGUUUUCUGGGCAGUAAGGUUUUUUUUUAUAAACAUUUCAUCCGCGAACUAUUUCAUAUUUUCUCCAUUUUUGCAAUACCUUGAGAGCUCAUUGGUGGAUUUUGAAGGGGAUUUCAACAGAAAGUGAUUGGAGGUAAGUCUCGCGGUCUUAAUUCGUCAUUUUAUUGAAGAAUCAACCAUUAAUUCUUUGAAAUUGGGUGUAAAAGUUGAUAAACUAGGGCUUGAAAUUUCAAAUGAAAAUUGGGGAUUUGGAGGAGUAAUUGAACUCCGAUUUUGAUGAAUUUUAUAUAUAUGGACUCAUGGCGAGAUAAGGAUUCUGAAAAUGUGAAUUUUGUAAUUUUUCAAGAAGUGGGCCGGGGCUUGAGUUUUGCCAACUUCGUGUUUUUGGGUGUAUUUCGAGUUAUUUCGAUUGGGUUAUGUUCCAUUAGCUGUUAUGACGUAUUCCUAUUGGUUUUGAUCUGAUUUGGCAUCCGCGAAGGUCGAUUCUCGAGGGAAAGGCUUUACGAGCUAGUUUGCGGCCGGCUUGAGGUGAGUAAUGGGGGUAGAUGAUGACCCGAGGGUUUGAAACCCCAAUAUAUCACAUUGUGACGCUAUUAUGAGGCUAGGCACGCACUUCAUGGCUAGUGGGGGGGUCGUAUAUGUUGCAAAUUAUGACUCACCCGGUAUAUCACAUUGUGACUCUAUUAUGAGGCUAGACACACACUCCAUGGCUAGUGCGGGGUCGUAUGAGUUGGAAAUUGUGACUCGAUCUAAUCCGAGGGAUGUAUUGCACUAUGUUGGCGAUUGCUUCGCGUAUUAUAUUGAUGAUAUUUGAGCCUGAUGCCAUGUUUGGGGCCUUGUGCCGAGUCGCAGGAUCCUUCAGGAAUCGUUAUCUCAGAAUUUUCAUGAUUUGCAUAUUAUUUGAAAUCAGUCCAGGUUUAAAUACUAUUUUUGCAAAUUCAGCCAUAUUUAUCCGUUUUGAAAACUCAAAUGAUUUUAAAUGAUAUUUCGGGCUGACGAGUACUAUCUCGCUAUUUUUGGACUGUAUAUUAUUUUAAUGGAAACGGUGGUAAGUAAGGACACCGCAUAUUUUAAAUGGAAAUGGUGGUAACUAAGAACACCGUGUAAUUUAAUGAAAAACGGUGGUAACUAAGGACACCAUGUAAUUUAAUUGAAAACGGUGGUAACUAAGGACACCGCGUAUUGUAAUGAAAACUGUCAUAAUAAAGGACACCAUGUAUUGUGAUGGAAACAGUGGUAACUAUUGGCACUGUAUGAUAUGACGUUUGGAUUGUAAGAGCCCCUCUGUAGUCUGAACCACCACGUGAGCGCGGGUACCCAUAUGGAUCGGGUUGCACGUUCCGCAGUGUUCAUGCAUUACAUUGCAUCUCAUGCAUUUAUUUACUGUUGCUUAUUCUGUAUAUCUCUGAGAUUGGUACUAUAUAGAACUGCUAGAUAGCUUCAUUUUUGUGUUAUUUCGCGUUUUCUUAUCUUCGGGUUUUUAUACAUGCUUAUCACUCGCUAAGUUGGUAGACCUAGUUCACCUUGUGUCCAGAUUCAGGUGCUCCAGAUACCUAGGCUGCAGCUGUUAAUUUUUCGGAGCUGUUCAGAGUAUUGAGGUAGCUGCCCAGCGUCCGCAGGACCACCUACUCUCUCUUUAUGAGUUGUUUCUUUUGCUAUUCUGUCAGACAUUUGUAUUACUUUCGUUCAGACCUGUAUCUUAUUUUAUUAGAGGCUUUGUACUCGUGACUCCUCGGUCUUUGGGAGAAUUAUUGUUCUUGCUCAGCUAUGUUUUCAGUGGUAUUAUCUAUCCCUGGUUGGGAGUUUCAUAUUAAAUUCAUUGUGUUAUCUUAAAUUGUUUCCUUUUGGCUGGAAUACUGUUCUUGGUUGUGGUUUGGUCGGGCUUGCCCAGCCUCGCGACAGGUGCCAUCACGACUGGGUUUGGGGUCGAGACAAGUUCGCGUCAGAGCCUAGGUUUACUAGGCCUCACGAGUUGUGAGCCGGAUUAGUAGAGUCUCGCGGAUCGGUACGUAGACAUCCGUAUCAUAUCCUCGACUGGCUACAGAGCUUAAAGGAAACACUUCACUUUCUUGGAAUUCUUAUCGUGCGGCUUUGUUGAUUUGAGAACUGAAAAUUCUUAUUCUAUUCUCUCACAGAUGGCGAGAACCCAUGCUACCGGACAUGGCGGUCGACCCCCAUUGCCACCAGGUAGAGGUCGUGGACGCGAUCGUGGCCGUGGUAGAGCAGCAGGGGCAGUACCAGUUGACCCACUUGUUGCUCCUGCUCAAGAUCAGCCCCAGUUGUUGAGGCUCCAGCAGCACCUACUCAGGCACCGGUAGUGCCCAUUGUGAUACCUGGUCUUCAGGAGACGUUGGCUCAGAUCUUAUCCGUCUGCACCGGGUUAGCUCUGGUGGUAUCAGCUACCACUGCAGCGGCUACUUCUGAGACCGGGGGUGGUCAUCAAAUCCCCGUAGCCCGCACUCCAGAGCAGGGUGCACAUGGUUGCAGACCCCAGAGGCACCACCAGUUCAGCCAGUUGCCCCUAUUCAGCCAGUUGUUCCAGUUCAGGGGGAUGGGGUAACAGUGAUGCCAGAUGACGAGCAACGUCGUCCAGAGAGGUUCAGCAGACUUUCACCUUCGACUUUUAGCGGUGUUCCGAGUGAGGAUGCCCAGGGGUUUCUUGAUAAGUGUCGACGCAUGUUCAAGACAACAGGGAUUUUGAAGACCAGUGGGGUAUCUUUUACCACUUUUCAGUUCUCAGGAGCGGCCUUCACCUGGUGGGAGGCAUAUGAGCGGCGUAGGCCAGCAGGGCGCCAGGGGGAUAUGUCUGUGACGCAGUAUGAGAUGAGAUUUGAUGAGUUAGCUCGUUAUGCUCUGUGGAUGGUCCAGACGGAUCAGGAGAGGAUUAGACGAUUUGUGGACGGGAUAGGCCAAUAGGGUCGGAACUGUUAUCUUGGCAGGUGUUCUCCACUAUCUUUUUGGAGAAGUGGGUGCCUAGGUCACAGAGAGAGGAGUUACGUGGGCAGUUUGAGUUGCUUUGCCAGGGGGAUAUGUCUGUGACGCAGUAUGAGAUGACAUUUUCCGAGUUAGCUCGUUAUGCUCCAUGGAUGGUCUAGACGAAUCAGGAGAGGAUUAGACGAGUUGUGGACGGGCUCAUUUAUCCCAUUUGUAUUCUGAUAACUCGAGAGAGGGUCCUGAGUCAUACCUUUGAGGAGGUGGUGGAUAUAGCCCGCGAUAUUGAGAUGACUCGCCAUUUUGAGCGAGAGGAGAGGGAGGCCAAGAGGCCUCGAGGUUCGGGCAGUUAUGGUGGCACUUCAUCUAGGGGCCAGUUUCAUCAGGGUAGAGGUCAUUCUUUUAGACCUCCUCAGUCAGGCCGCCCAGAGUACAGCGGAGCUUCUUUCGAUCGUGGCCGUCAGGGUCACCAGCAGGGCCUGUCUUCACUUAGUGCCAUCCCAGCUCAGAGUUCUGCACCUACUUCGUCAGCCUAGGGUUCAUCUGCGGCGAGGGGUUCCCUUCAGUCCGCUUCUCCAGUUUCAGUCGGAUGUUAUGAGUGUGGGGAGUUUGGUCAUGUGAAGAGACAUUGUCCUCGACUUCGUGGUGGUAGUUUUCAGCAGAAGGAUCAUCCCUCCUCCUCUUCUCCAUCUGUUUCAGCACCACCCAUGUCUAGUAGGGAUGGGGGUCAGUCAUAUAGAGGCCGUCCCAGGAGGGAUGAGCGAUACAGCAGAGGGAUCAACCCUUCUCUUCUUCUCCAUCUGUUUCAGCACCACCCCGGUCUAGUAGGGGUGGGGGUCAGUCAUCUAGAAGCCGCCCCAGGAGGGAUGAGCGAUCGAGCGGUGGUCAGGCCCAUUUCUAUGCACUCCCAGAUAGGAGAGAUGCCGUUGCUUCAGAUGCAGUGAUCACAGGUAUUAUCUCAGUUUGCCACAAGGAUGCUUCUGUUUUGUUUGAUCCCGGGUCUACAUAUUCUUAUGUAUCUGCUUACUUUGCUCAUCAUUUAGGGAAUACCCGAGGGUGUCUAGCAUUGCCAGUGCAUGUAUCUACCCCGGUGUGUGAUACUAUUACCGCGUGUAUCGGUCCUGGCUUACUUUGCUCAUCAUUUGGGGACUACCCGUGGGUGUCUAGCAUUGCCUGUGCAUGUAUCUACCCCGGUGGGUGACACUAUUAUUGUGGACCACGUGUAUCGGUCCUGUCUUGUUACUAUUGAGGGUCUAAAGACCCGAGCAGACUUGCUGCUUUUGAGCAUGGUUGAUUUUGAUGUGAUUCUGGGCAUGGAUUGGUUAUCACCAUGCCAUGCUAUUCUGGACUAUCACGCCAAGACAUUCACGUUGGCUAUGUCGGGUAUUCUGAGGGUUAUGUGGUGUGGUUCGACUGAUUACGUACCCAGCAGGGUAAUCUCUUUCUUAAAGGCCCAUCGGAUGGUUGGCAGUUGUAAGGGAUGUUGGAGAUGAGACUCCUAGUCUUGAUUCGGUUCCCGUGGUGAGGGAGUUUCCUGAUGUAUUUCCAGCAGANNNNNNNNNNNNNNNNNNNNNNNNNNNNNNNNNNNNNNNNNNNNNNNNNNNNNNNNNNNNNNNNNNNNNNNNNNNNNNNNNNNNNNNNNNNNNNNNNNNNNNNNNNNNNNNNNNNNNNNNNNNNNNNNNNNCAAACAGUUAAACAAAGUGAUAGUGAAGAACAAGUAUCCAUUACCCCGUAUUGAGGAUUUGUUUGACCAGCUUCAGGGAGCCAAGGUAUUCUCUAAGAUUGAUCUCCAUUCAGGCAUUCAUCAGAUGAAGAUUAGAGAUUCUGACAUUAUGAAGACAACUUUCAGGACGAGAUAUGGGCAUUAUGAAUUUCUGGUUAUGUCAUUGGGAUGACUAAUGCCCCAGCAGUAUUCAUGCACUUGAUGAACAGUGUAUUUCGGCCGUAUCUGGAUUCUUUUGUGAUCGUGUUUAUUGAUGAUAUUCUUGUGUACUCGCGCAGCCAAGAGGAGCACGCGAAUCAUUUAAGGGUGGUAUUGCAGAGAUUGAGAGAGGAGAAGUUGUAUGCAAAGCUCUCCAAGUGUGAGUUCUGGCUCAGUUCCGUAGCCUUUCUGGGGCACGUGGUGUCCAGUGAUGGUAUUCAGGUUGAUCCAAAGAAGAUCGAGGCGGUGCAGAGUUGUCCCAGACCGUCCUCAGCUUCUGAGAUUCGGAGUUUCCUCGGUUUGGCAGGUUAUUAUCGCAGAUUUGUUCAGGGUUUUUCAUCUAUUGAUUCGCCUUUGACGAAGUUGACGCAGAAGAAUGCCCCAUUUGUGUGGUCUGAUGAGUGCGAUGAGAGCUUCCAAAAGCUCAAGUCAUUGUUGACUACGUCUCUAGUGUUAGUAUUGCCAGCGGCUUCAGGUUCUUAUACGGUAUAUUACGAUGCUUCGAGGAUUGGUAUUUGAUGUGUUCUGAUGCAGGAGGGUAGAGUGAUUGCAUAUGCUUCUUGGCAAUUGAAGCCCCAUGAGAAAAACUACCUUGUUCAUGAUUUGGAGUUGGCUGCUAUAGUUCAUGCCUUGAAGAUUUGGAGGCACUAUCUAUAGUAGGAGGGUAGAGUGGUUGCAUAUGCUUCCCGGCAGUUGAAGCCCCAUGAGAAAAACUGUCACGUUCAUGAUUUAGCGUUGGCUGCUAUAGUUCAUGCCUUGAAGAUAUGGAGGCACUAUCUAUAUGGGGUAUCUUGUGAGGUGUAGACGGAUCAUCGCAACCUUCAGCACUUGUUCAAGCAGAAAGAUCUGAAUUUGAUGCUGCAAAGAUGGCUUGAGUUACUCAAGGACUAUGAUAUUACCAUAUUGUAUCAUUCGGGGAAGGCCAAUAUGGUGGCCGAUGCUUUCAGCCGGAAGGCGGUAUGGGUAGCUUGGCGUACAUUCCAGUUAGGGAGAGGCCCCUUGCAGUUGAUGUUCAGGCCUUGGCUAAUCGUAUGGUGAGAUUGGAUAUUUCAGAGCCCAGCCGGGUGUUGGCUUGUGUGGUUUCCCUGUCUUCUUUAUAUGAUCGCAUCAGAGAGAGCCAGUUUGAUGACCCGCAUUUGCUUGUCCUGAAGGAUAGGGUCCAGCAAGAUGAUGCCAGAGAUGUGACUACUGGUAGUGAUGGUCUGUUGCGGAUGCAGGGCCGGAUUUGCAUGCCCAAUGUAGAUGAGCUCCGAGAGUUGAUAUUAAAGGAGGCCCUAUUCUAUUCAUCUGGAUGCCGCGAAGAUGUACCAGGAACUGAGGCAGCAUUAUUGGUGGAGGAGAAUGAAAAAGGGGACAUUCGUGAGUUCUGUAGCUAGGUGUCUACAUUGUCAGCAGGUCAAAUAUGAGUAUCAGAGACCCAGUGGUGUACUUCAGCAGAUGGAUAUUCCAGAGUGGAAAUGGGAGAAAAUUACAAUGGACUUUGUGAGUGGACUCCCUCGUACCUCGAGGAACUUCGAUUCUAUUUGGGUGAUUGUGGAUAGACUGACCAAGUCUGCGCAUUUCCUUUCGGUGUGUACCACCUACUCUUCAGAGCGGUUGGCAGAGAUUUUCAUCUGUAAGAUUGUGCGGUUGCAUGGGGUCCCAGUUUCUAUUGUCUCAGAUAGGGGUACUCAUUUUUCUUCUCAGUUUUGGAAGACCUUUCAUAGGGAGUUGGGCACUCAGAUUUAGAUGAGAACGACUUUUCAUCCUCAGACGGACGGACAGUUCGAGCUUACCAAUUUAAGAUAUUGGAGGACAUGUUGCAUGCUUGUGUUAUUGAUUUCGGAGGUUCUUAGGCUGAGUUCUUGCCGCUUGCGGAGUUUGCUUAUAAUAAUAUUUAUCAGUCCAACAUUUAGAUGGUGCCGUAUGAGGCUUUAUAUGGGAGACGACGUAGAUCCUCAGUUGGUUGGUUUGAGCCCGGCGAGGCUAGACUAUUGGGGACAGAGUUAGUCUAGGAUGCCUUAGAGAAAGUGAAAGUUAUCCAAGAGAGACUUUGUACAACUCAGUCGCGUCAGAAGAGUUAUGCAGAACGAAUUGUUCGGGAUGUAUCUUAUACGGUGGGCGAGAAGGUUCUGUUGAAGGUCUCGCCUAUGAAAGGCGUGAUGAGCUUUGGAAAGAAAGGGAAGCUGAGUCCGCGGUUUAUUGGACCUUUUGAGAUUCUCAGGAGGAUGGGGGAGGUGGACUAUAUACUUGCUUUGCCACCCAGUUUAUCGGGGGUUCACCCGGUGUUUCAUGUUUCUAUGCUCAAAAAGUAUGUUGGGGACCCGUCUCAUGUAUUGGACUUCAGCACAAUCCAGCUGGAUGAGGACUUGACCUAUGAUGUGGAGCCAGAGGCUAUUCGAAAGUUGAGAUCAAAAGACAUAGCUUCGGUGAAUGUGCAAUGGAGAGGUCGGCCCGCGAAGGAGGCCACUUGGGAGACCGAGCAGGAGAUGCGGAGUGGAUAUCCUCAUCUAUUUGAGGCUCCAGGUAUGUUUCUUGACCCGCUCGAGGACGAGCGUUUGUUUUAGUUGGGGAGGAUGUGACGACCCGACCCGACCCGUUUUCUUUUGUAUUUCAGCCCUUUUAUCCCCAUAAUAUGCUUCCCCGUAUGUUGAUAUAUGUGUUUGGUGAGUUUGAGACGUGUUGGAUUAAAUUUGGUUAGAAAUGAGACCAAUAGCCCCUUUAAGGAAAGCCUAAGUUGGAAAAGUCAACCGGACGUUGGCUUGUGAGUUGGAGGGCUCGGAAUGGAUUUCCGAUGAUUCGACUAGUUUCGGAUGGUGAUUUAUGACUUGGGAGCGAAAUCAGAGUUUAAUUUGGAGGUCUGGUGUAGAAUUAGGCUUGAAUUGGCUAAGUUCGAAUUUUGGCAAAUUCCGGUUGAUAGGUGGGAUUUUGAUCCGGGGUCGGAAUGGAAUUCCGAGAUUGCAGUAGCUUUGAUAGGUAAUUUUGGAUAUGUCUGCAAAUUUUCAGGUCAUUCGGACAUCGUUUGGUUGGGUUUUGGGUUGAAUGCGAAUUUAGAAAAGUUCUAGUUUGACUUAGGCUUUAAUUUGAGGAAUUUGAUGAUUUUUGACGUUAACGUUGGUUUUUUUAUGGCCCAAGCAAGUUUGCAUGAAGUAUUAAGUCGUGUUAGUGCUUUUGGCUGAGGUCCCGGGGGCCUCGGGGUGAUUUCGGAUGGUUAACGGAAGGAUUUUUGGUUUUGAAAGAUGGAAGAUUUUCAGCUAUUGGUGUUGCAGACCACAAAGCAUCGCGUUCGCGUGGGGGUGGACGCGCACGCGUAGAAGGAAUCUGGGAGCCUGGGAUUCUUGCCUUCGCGUUCGCGAAGGGGAGACUUUGAUCACGUAGUAGAGGAGUUGUUCUUGAUCGCGUUCUCGUGAUAAGUUGACGCGUUCGCGUAAGCCAGGGGGUGUGGUCCAUCGCAUUCGCGUCGAGACGGCCGCGUUCGCGUAUGAGGUCCUGGGAGCGUGGUCAGGUAAAGCAUCGCGUUCGCGUGGCCAGGGUCGCGAACGCGGUGAAGGAGUUUUCUGGGCAGUAAGGUUUUUUUAUAAACAUUUCAUCCGCUAGCUAUUUCAAAAUCUUUCCUUGAGAGCUCAUUGGCGGAUUUUGAAGGGGAUUUUAACGGAAAGUGAUUGAAGGUAAGUCUCAUGGUCUUAAUACGUCAUUUUAUUGAAGAAUAAACCAUUAAUUCUCUUAAAUUGGGUGUAAAUGUUGAUAAACUAGGGCGUGAAAUUUCAAAUGAAAAUUGGGGAUUUGAAUGAGCAAUAUGACUCCGAUUUUGAUGAAUUUUAUAUGUAUGGAUUCGUGGCGAGACGAGAAUUCUGAAAAUGUAAGUUUCGUAAUUUUUCAAGAAGCGGGCUCGGGGCUCGGGUUUUGCCAACUUCGUGUUUUUGGGUGUAUUUCGAGUUAUUUCGAUUGNNNNNNNNNNNNNNNNNNNNNNNNNNNNNNNNNNNNNNNNNNNNNNNNNNNNNNNNNNNNNNNNUUGGGUGUAUUUCGAGUUAUUUCGAUUGGGUUAUGUUCCAUUAGCCUAUUGUGAUGUAUUCCUAUUGGUUUUGAUCAGAUUUGGUAUCCGCGGAGGUCGAUUCUCGAGGGAAAGGCAUUGCGAGCUAGUUUGCGACCGACUUGAGGUGAGUAAUGGGUGUAGAUGAUGACCUGAGGGUUUGAAACCCCGGUAUAUCACAUUGUGACGCUAUUAUGAGUCUAGACACGCACUCCAUGGCUAGUGCGGGGUCGUAUAAGUUGGAAAUUGUGACUCGAUCUAAUCCGUGGGAUGUAUUUCACUAUGUUGGCGAUUGCUUCGCGUAUUAUAUUGAUGAUAUUUGGGCUUGAUGCCAUGUUUGGGAUAUUGUACUAUGUUGGCGAUUGCUUCGCAUACUAUAUUGAUGAUAUUUGAGCUUGAUGCCAUGUUUGAGGCCUUGUGCCGACUUGCAGGAUCCUUCAGGGAUCGUUAUCUCAGAAUUUUCAUGAUUUGCAUAUUAUUUGAAAUCAGUCCAGGUUUAAAUACUAUUUUUCAAAUUAAGCCAUAUUUAUACGUUUUGAAAACUCAAAUGAUUUUAAAUGAUAUUUCGGGCUGACGAGUACUAUCUCGCUAUUUUUGUAAUGUUUAUUAUUUUAAUGGAAACGGUGGUAACUAAGGACACCGUGUAUUUUAAAUGGAAACGGUGGUAACUAAGGACACCGUGUAAUUUAAUUGAAAACGGUAGUAACUAAGGACAACGCGUAUUGUAAUGAAAACGGUGGUAAAAAAGGGCAUCGUGUAUUGUGAUGGAAACAGUGGUACUUAUUGGCAUUGUAUGAUAUGGCGCUUGGGCUGUAGGAGCCCCUCUGGAGUCUGAACCCCCAUAGUGAGUGCGGGUACCCAUAUGGAUCGGGCUGCACGUUCCUCAGCGUUCAUGCAGUGCAUUGCAUCUCAUGCAUUUAUUUACUGUUGCUUAUUCUGUAUAUCUCUGAUAUUGGUACUAUAUAGAACUGCUAGAUAGCUUCAUUUUGUGUUAUUUCGUGUUUUCUUUUCUUCGGGUUUUUAUACAUGCUUAUUACUUGCUGAGUUGGUAGACUCACCCCAUACUCCUUGCACCUUGUGUGAAGAUUUAGGUGCUCCAGAGGCCUAGUGCUGCAGCUGUUGAUUUCCGGAGUUGUUCAGAGUAUUGAGGUAGCUGCCCAGCGUCCGCAGGACCACCUACUCUGUCUCUAUCAGUUGUUUCUUUUGCUAUUCUGUCAGACAUUUGUAUUACUUCCGUUCAGACCUGUAUCUUAUUUUAUUAGAGACUGUACUCUUGACUUCUUGGUCUUUCCGGAGAAUUAUUGUUCUUGCUCAGCUAUGUUUUCAUUGCUAUUGUCUAUCCAUGGUUGGGAGUUUCAUAUUAAAUUCGCUGUGUUAUCUUAAAUUGCUUCCUUUUGGCUGGAAUGCCGUUCUUGGUUGUGGUUUGGUCGGGCUUGCCCAGCCUCGCGGCAGGGCGCCAUCACGACCGGCUUUGAAAUCGUGACAACUAUCAUCGAAGGAUAUAGAACUCGAACCCCCAAAUUCUGCAAUCAGUAGUAACUAAUAAGAACAUAUAUUAUAAUGAGACGCAGAACCUUACGUUUAAAAAGCACUCAGAUACAUAUUGGAAAAAGAGAAAUGACAUGC